rnacentral:rRNA from 1 species
UACGUAGGGUGCAAGCGUUAAUCGGAAUUACUGGGCGUAAAGCGUGCGCAGGCGGUUUUGUAAGUCUGUCGUGAAAGCCCCGGGCUCAACCUGGGAAUUGCGAUGGAGACUGCAAGGCUUGAAUCUGGCAGAGGGGGGUAGAAUUCCACGUGUAGCAGUGAAAUGCGUAGAGAUGUGGAGGAACACCGAUGGCGAAGGCAGCCCCCCUGGGUCAAGAUUGACGCUCAUGCACGAAAGCGUGGGGAGCAAACAGGAUUAGAACUACC